rnacentral:lncRNA from 1 species
AAAAAUAAAAUAAAAAUAGUAUUAAGAAAGAGCCGUCACGAUUGAUGACGGCAAGGAACUGACGCAAGCAAAUGCGAACGGCAUACGGAUGAUGUUAGCUUGUUGGGUUUGGAUUUUGCUUGUGAUACGAUGACAAACAAUAACAUCACUUUCGAAAAUAAAAAAAUAAAAAAAAAAUCAUUUUGAUCACAAUAAUAUAUAGGGUAUACUUGUUUGUUUGUAGUGUGGUCCGAACUUUAUUAAUAAUAGUAUUUGUUAUGGACCAAAGUCAUUCUUUUGUGUGUUGGCC